GAUGAACGCUGGCGGCGUGCCUAAUACAUGCAAGUCGAGCGAACAGACGAGGAGCUUGCUCCUCUGACGUUAGCGGCGGACGGGUGAGUAACACGUAGAUAACCUACCUAUAGGACUGGGAUAACUUCGGGAAACCGGAUCUAAUACAGGAUAAUAUAGUGAAACGGAUGGACCAAUAGGGAAAGACCGUUUUGCUGUGACUUAUAGGUGGUUCCAUGCCGCAUUAGCUAGUUGGUAAGGUAACGGCUUACCAAGGCAACGAUGCGUAGCCGACCUGAGAGGGCGACCAGCCACACUGGGACUGAGACACGGUCCAGACUCCUACGGGAGGCAGCAGUAGGGAAUUUUGCGCAAUGGGCGAAAGCCUGACGGAGCAACGCCGCGUGAGUGAUGAAGGUCUUCGGAUCGUAAACCGCUGUUAUUAGGGAAGAAAAACUGUGUACGAAUCUCCCGACGUCAUGACGGUACCGAAUCAGAAAGCCCCGGCUAACUACGUG
rnacentral:rRNA from 1 species